rnacentral:rRNA from 1 species
UACGUAGGGGGCUAGCGUUGUCCGGAAUCAUUGGGCGUAAAGCGCGCGUAGGCGGUUACUCAAGUCGGAUGUGAAAGCCCUCGGCUUAACUGAGGAAGUGCACCCGAAACUGAGUAGCUAGAGUACUAAAGAGGGUCGCGGAAUUCCCGGUGUAGAGGUGAAAUGCGCAGAUAUCAGGAGGAACACCAAUGGCGAAGGCAGCUCGCUGGGACGUGACUGACGCUGAGACGCGAAAGCGUGGGGAGCAAACAGG